CAGUCGCCACGGGAAUACGAAGGGUGCAAGCGUUACUCGGAAUUACUGGGCGUAAAGCGUGCGUAGGUGGUGGUUUAAGUCCGUUGUGAAAGCCCUGGGCUCAACCUGGGAAUUGCAGUGGAUACUGGAUCACUAGAGUGUGGUAGAGGAUAGCGGAAUUUCCGGUGUAGCAGUGAAAUGCGUAGAGAUCGGAAGGAACAUCUGUGGCGAAGGCGACUAUCUGGGCCAACACUGACACUGAGGCACGAAAGCGUGGGGAGCAAACAGGAUUAGAUACCCCUGUAGUCCCUGUCUCUUAUAC
rnacentral:rRNA from 1 species